UGCGCGCCGUCUGCGCCUGGAGAUGUUAUAUAUACCCCGCGGCGGCCAAGGGAUUGGACCCCAGCCAGGGAGGGGGCGGAGCACGCGGAGCGGACUCUCACCACAAGAAUUCUGGCUGUGGGCUUGAUCCUUUUUGAGCUUGUGCACCGUUCUGCAUUCAGAUUUAUUGUUUGAUUCAAGGUGGAGUGUUUGUUGCAAACUUACAGCGCCUUGCCCCUCAUCCUGAUUUGGCCACGGCACAAUGGCUUGAGAUGGGAAGGAAGGGAGAAGCAGUUUCCAAACUAAUGCAAAUGUCAGAGACCCUUGGAAGACAUGUCAGCCAUGGAAAGAGCUAUAAUCGGAGCAAGCCUGGCAGGAAGGUUCAUGUUCCCAACAGUCGCUGGAAAACAGGAUUCAUCAGUGUAGGAACUGUAGCAUUGCCUCUUAUUGUGGCCAUCCUGCCCAACCAUGCCUACUCAGGAGUAAACCCUACUGAAUUCAGUGAGUCUUACUCCCAGGUAAGUGGGAUUAGGAUUGGGGCCUUAGCCAUCACCAGCAGUGAAGGACUUCAAUUGCCUGCCAGACUGGGUGUGACAGCCAGUGGUGGAAGAGCCACUGUUGCCUCUCAGAAACAAGCCCCAGUGAUAGUUGGGGGUCAUCUUAUGAUUCCCUGCUCCAGAUUCCAAUAACUCCAGAGCAGUUAUGGGUAGUGCCUGAAUUUAAACUUUACUUUUGCUAUUGUCCUAAAAGUAAAAGUAUUAUAAGGUGGGAUUUUUGUUUUGUUUUAAGUAUGAAUAACGUACUAAGGGGCUGGCCCACCCAUUCGAUAAACUGAGCAAGUGUACACAGUAAAUGGCUUAUAGGCAACUAUGCAGCUAGCUGCCAGCUGCAACUCAUGACUACGCAUGGCCUUUUGAUACUUCGGCUGGUUGUUCUGGUUCUUCCUAUAAAGGGGGAAAUAACUGCUUUUAUAGUUAUACUGUUGUUAGGAGGGAUGUUUGGUGUGGGCUGCUGGUAACCAGAGUUAUGAAACAUUAACACAAAACACCCAAGACUUGAGAUAGAAUCGGCAAGUAAAAGUAAAUAAAGUUUCUUUUAACCACCUACUUAGUAAAAAGUUUUUGAUCUGAUAACAGUAGAAAGUAUCAGUUACAGAUAGGUAGCCGUGUUGGUCUGCCAUAGUCAAAACAAAACAAAAUUUCUUCCAGUAGCACCUUAAAGACCAACUAAGUUAGUUCUUGGUAGAAAGUAUGUAAGUCAUAGGAGCUAUAGAAUCUACCUGCCACUGAUUUCAAAUAUCUGGAUUUUAUGCUUAGCUUUUGUAUCUGUUCUCACAACUUUUUUUCUGAAUCUGUGUAUUUUUUAUAUUUUUAUUUAACUGGAUUAACCUGUAUGUUCAUUGAAGGAGCAUCCAUCCAUAGACUGCCAUUGUGGAAGAGCCCCUUCAACUUAUCAUUAUAUUGAUACACUUAAGCUGUGCACAAACUCGUGUUUACUCUGCAUUCACUGGUUUGGGAAGUGGUAUACGCACGGUGAUAGCCACAAUUCAUAUCUAUGCUAGAGUUUCUUUUGAAAUACUAUGUUUUGAUGUGUUUUCCGCCAAACCAGCUUCAAUCCAAAUUGAGAAAAAGAACGACAUAGCUGUGUUUCAAGCCAAUAACAUGUACAUAGCGACAGAGCAGCGGUAACCAACAUGGUGCCAACCAGAUGUUAUUGGUAUACCACCUCCAUCAUUCCUGGCCAAUGGCCAUGCUAGCUGUG